rnacentral:rRNA from 1 species
CCUACGGGAGGCAGCAGUGGGGAAUAUUGGACAAUGGGGGGAACCCUGAUCCAGCCAUGCCGCGUGUGUGAAGAAGGCCCUCGGGUUGUAAAGCACUUUCAGUGAGGAAGAACGCCUGGUGGUUAAUACCCAUCAGGAAAGACAUCACUCACAGAAGAAGCACCGGCUAACUCCGUGCCAGCAGCCGCGGUAAUACGGAGGGUGCGAGCGUUAAUCGGAAUUACUGGGCGUAAAGCGCGCGUAGGUGGCUUGAUAAGCCGGUUGUGAAAGCCCCGGGCUCAACCUGGGAACGGCAUCCGGAACUGGCAAGCUAGAGUGCAGGAGAGGAAGGUAGAAUUCCCGGUGUAGCGGUGAAAUGCGUAGAGAUCGGGAGGAAUACCAGUGGCGAAGGCGGCCUUCUGGACUGACACUGACACUGAGGUGCGAAAGCGUGGGUAGCAAACAGGAUUAGAUACCCGAGUAGUC